rnacentral:rRNA from 1 species
CCUACGGGUGAGCUGCAGUGAGGAAUAUUGGUCAAUGGGCGAGAGCCUGAACCAGCCAAGUCGCGUGAAGGAUGACGGCCCUACGGGUUGUAAACUUCUUUUGUCAGGGAGCAAUUGAGUCCACGUGUGGGCUUAGCGAGAGUACCUGCAGAAAAAGCGUCGGCUAACUCCGUGCAAGCAGCCGCGGUACUACGGGGGCGGCGAGCGUUAUCCGGGUUUAUUGGGUUUCAAGGGUGUGUAGGCGGAAUAUCAAGUCAGCGGUAAACAUUCGGGGCGCAACCCCGUCGUGCCGUUGAAACUGAUGUUCUUGAGUGGGCGAGAAGUAUGCGGAAUGCGUGGUGUAGCGGUGAAAUGCAUAGAGAUCACGCAGAACUCCGAUUGCGAAGGCAGCAUACUGGCGCGCAACUGACGCUGAAGCACGAAAGCGUGGGUAGCGAACAGGAUUAGAUACCCUAGUAGUC